AGGAUAAACGCUGGCGGCGUGCCUAACACAUGCAAGUCGCACGAGAAAGGGGAGCAAUCCCUGAGUAAAGUGGCGCACGGGUGAGUAACACGUGAAUCAUCUACCUCCGAGUGGGGAAUAACUGAGAGAAAUCUUAGCUAAUACCGCAUAACACUUACGAGUCAAAGCAGCAAUGCGCUUGGAGAGGAGUUCGCGGCAGAUUAGUUAGUUGGCGGGGUAAUGGCCCACCAAGACGAUGAUCUGUA
rnacentral:rRNA from 1 species